rnacentral:rRNA from 1 species
AUGGCCGUCCCGCGCCUCCGCGGCCUCCUCCUCCGCCGCAUCCCGCACGGCCGCCGGCUCUCCCGCAGGAUCGGAUCCCACCCACCUCCACCUGCCAUGGCCGCAUCGCGCCUCCACCGCCUGCUUCUCCGCUGGGCCGAAUCCUGCCGCCGGCCAGUGCCAGUGCUCACCGCGCCAUGGCCGCCCCCCUCGCUUCCUCGCGCCGCCCGUCCACCACCGUGCGCUGCCCGCUGUUGGCCGUUUGUUUUGGCCGACCGGCGGCCGCCGGUACGACGUCUUCUGGGCGCUGGGACGCGGACCGGGCGCGGUUCUAUUGCUGCUGCCCCAGGUCGUCGAGGAACAGUACUGUCAAGCUGGACGAACCCCCUUCCUCUGCUCCAAGCCUCUAGGUGCAGUUGGGAUGCAGGCCAUCCGCCCUUUGUCCACCGGUGUCGUUGCUCUGCUCCGCCCUCUGGCCACUGGCGUCGUUGCUCUGCUCCACUGCCGUCAUCGUUUGCCAGGAACCCGGUUUUAUCCACGUCUUCCCCAGGUCAACAGAGCCGCAUUUAG